GAGAGUUCAAGAGUACGUGAAACCGUUCAGGGGUAAACGGGAGAAAUCCUGAAUUCGAAAGGGAUUGGAUUCAAGUCCUGCCGAGUGUAUAUGGGACGUCCCUGCCAGAUGGCGCUGGUCGCCCGCGGCGAUUCAUUUCGUUUGCGGUGUCGUUCCCGGCGAUCACUCGGCUAUGUGGCGUUUACCCGGCACCGGAGGAGUGCACUUCCCCCCUAGUAGAAACGUCGCGACCCGUUGGGUGCCGGUCUGGGGCCCAGGAUGGCAGCCCACGUGUCCUGUGGGGGCUCUCACAGGCAUGUGGACUCUUGGUGACCUGGCCGGCUGCCCGAUGGUAUGACCAGAGGAGUCGAUCCGCUGCAAGUGAAACACUUUGGUUGUGUAGCGUCCGGCCUGUCGCCGAUGCGUGCAGGGAUUGAGGUGUAAACCGGGGGUGCCCGUGCGAAGCACGGCCCCGGCCCUGCUGCGUUUUCGGACUUUGGUGUCCUCGGACUGGAUCAAUACUCCUGUCUGCGACGCCCACCUUCGGAUGGUCUCCCGCC
rnacentral:rRNA from 1 species